rnacentral:rRNA from 1 species
GACGAACGCUGGCGGCGUGCUUAACACAUGCAAGUCGAACGAUGAAGUUCCUUCGGGAAUGGAUUAGUGGCGAACGGGUGAGGAACACGUGAGAAACCUGCCUUUCAUUUUGGGAUAACUCCGGGAAACCGGGGCUAAAACCGAAUACUCCGUCUCGGCGGCAUCGCUGAGCCGGGAAAAAAUUUUGAUGAAAGAUGGUCUCGCGGCCUAUCAGCUAGUUGGUGAGGUAAUGGCUCACCAAGGCAACGCCGGGUAGCCGGCCUGAGAGGGCGACCGGCCACACUGGGACUGAGACACGGCCCAGACUCCUACGGGGGGCAGCAGUGGGGAAUAUUGGGCAAUGGGCGCAAGCCUGACCCAGCGACGCCGCGUGAGGGAUGAAGGCCUUCGGGUUGUAAACCUCUUUCAGUAGGGAAGAAGCGAAGGUGACGGUACCUAAAGAAGAAGCACCGGCUAACUAUGUGCCAGCCGCCGCAGUAA